AGAACGAACGCUGGCGGCAGGCUUAACACAUGCAAGUCGAACGCUGUAGCAAUACAGAGUGGCAGACGGGUGAGUAACACGUGGGAACAUACCCUUCGGUUCGGAAUAACUUGGGGAAACUUAAGCUAAUACCGAAUACGGCCUAUGGGCGAAAGAUUUAUCGCCGAAGGAUUGGCCCGCGUCCGAUUAGCUAGUUGGUGUUGGUAAUGGCUCACCAAGGCGACGAUCGGUAGCUGGUCUGAGAGGAUGACCAGCCACAUUGGGACUGAGACACGGCCCAAACUCCUACGGGAGGCAGCAGUGGGGAAUAUUGGACAAUGGGCGCAAGCCUGAUCCAGCCAUGCCGCGUGAGUGAUGAAGGCCUUAGGGUUGUAAAGCUCUUUCGCACGCGACGAUAAUGACGGUAGCGUGAGAAGAAGCCCCGGCUAACUUCGUGCCAGCAGCCGC
rnacentral:rRNA from 1 species